AGAGAAGAAGAAGAAGAAGAAAGACAAAAAGGAGAAGAAACAUGACGGACAUGAUAGUAGCAGCAGCAGCGACAGUGAUUAGAUCUGAUCGGAUUAAUUUACUAUCUAUCUUGUGUUUAACUGCUUUCUAUUUGAUUUGUGAAUGUACUCUGUUUAUGAAUGCGAUGAUAUUAUAAUAAGGAAAAGGUACUUUGUCAUUUAGAAUUGAUAUAUUUCUUGUUAUUAAAGUGGCUCAUAUAUACCUUAUUUGUAAACAAAUGGUUCACAUAUACCUUUUUCUCAUAUGAGUAAAUU
rnacentral:misc_RNA from 1 species